rnacentral:tRNA from 1 species
UUUGAGGUGGCAGAUUAGUGCGAUAGGUUUAAGCCCUAUCCAUGAAGGUUUAAGCCCUUUUCUCAAAA